AUCAAUUAUGUCUACAAGUUUGAGCAAUAUAUUACCUCAGUAUAGAACUAUAUUACUUCUUGAAAAUGUUGGUCUGAUUUUGUUCGUUGUGGUCUGCCAUAUGAUUAUAUUUUUUACUCCUCCAGGUCUUGGUUGAAUGAUUCGAUUUAUAGAGGCCAUUACACAAGUUCUGUUUUCACAUGAUUUUGCUAGAUCAGAUACAAAUAGAAGAAGUGGUUCAAGGAUAACCAUCUGUACGGAUGGUGGAAUUUAAAAUUAUGGGACUUCGUCAUAUUAAUCUCACACCUACUCCUCAACUGAGGAGCAGGUGCCUCACAGGAUACAAGAUGCUUUGUCAGCUCCUAUUGGAGCAUCUGCUGAUUUU